rnacentral:rRNA from 1 species
AACCUGCGGAAGGAUCANUG